rnacentral:rRNA from 1 species
GAUGUACGCUAGCGGCAGGCCUAACACAUGCAAGUCGAGGGAGAGGUUACAUUCGGAUAACCAAAACCGGCGCACGGGUGCGUAACGCGUAUACAAUGCGCCUUUCACAUAGGGAUAGCCCGAAGAAAUUUGGAUUAAUACUUAAUGGUAUAUAGGAGCGGCAUCGUUUUUAUAUUAAAGCUACGGUGGUGACUGAUGAGUAUGCGUUCUAUUAGCUAGUCGGAGAGGUAACGGCUCCCCAAGGCGACGAUAGAUAGGGGUUCUGAGAGGGAUGUCCCCCACACUGGUACUGAGAUACGGACCAGACUCCUACGGGAGGCAGCAGUGAGGAAUAUUGGACAAUGGUCGGAAGACUGAUCCAGCCAUGCCGCGUGCAGGAUGAAGGUCCUAUGGAUUGUAAACUGCUUUUGUAAGGGAAGAAUAAGGAGUACGUGUACUUUGAUGACGGUACCUUACGAAUAAGCAUCGGCUAACUCCGUGCCAGCAGCCGCGGUAAUACGGAGGAUGCGAGCGUUAUCCGGAAUCAUUGGGUUUAAAGGGUCCGUAGGCGGGCUGAUAAGUCAGAGGUGAAAGCGCUUAGCUCAACUAAGCAACUGCCUUUGAAACUGUCAGUCUUGAAUGAUUGUGAAGUAGUUGGAAUGUGUAGUGUAGCGGUGAAAUGCUUAGAUAUUACACAGAACACCGAUAGCGAAGGCAUAUUACUAACAAUUUAUUGACGCUGAUGGACGAAAGCGUGGGGAGCGAACAGG